GACAGAGGGUGCAAACGUUGUUCGGAAUUACUGGGCGUAAAGCGCGUGUAGGCGGCAAUACAAGUCGGAUGUGAAAUCCCGCGGCUUAACCGUGGAAGUGCACCCGAAACUGUAUCGCUAGAGUCCCGGAGAGGAUGGUGGAAUACUUGGUGUAGAGGUGAAAUUCGUAGAUAUCAAGUGGAACACCGGUGGCGAAGGCGGCCAUCUGGACGGUGACUGACGCUGAGACGCGAAAGCGUGGGUAGUAAACAGG
rnacentral:rRNA from 1 species